GUGCUCACUUCAGCAGCACAUAUAUUAAAAUUGGAACAUUACAGAGAAGAUUAGCAUGGCCCUUUCGCAAAGAUGACACACAAUUUGUGAAGCAUUCCCUAUUUUU
rnacentral:snRNA from 1 species